rnacentral:rRNA from 1 species
CCUACGGGAGGCAGCAGUGAGGAAUAUUGGUCAAUGGCCGGAAGGCUGAACCAGCCAAGUCGCGUGAGGGACGACUGCCCUAUGGGUUGUAAACCUCUUUUAUAAGGGAAGAAAAAAUGCUACGUGUAGCAUUAUGCCUGUACCUUAUGAAUAAGCAUCGGCUAACUCCGUGCCAGCAGCCGCGGUAAUACGGAGGAUGCGAGCGUUUUCCGGAUUUAUUGGGUUUAAAGGGAGCGUAGGCGGUUUUUUAAGUUAGUGGUAAAACGUGGGGGCUAACCCUUGAAUUGCCAUUGAUACUGUCAGACUUGAGUUCAGUAGAGGUAGGCGGAAUACGUGGUGUAGCGGUGAAAUGCUUAGAUAUAACUAAGAACUCCGAUAGCGAAGGCAGCUUACCAGACUGCGACUGACGCUGAAGCACGAGAGCGUGGGUAGCGAACAGGAUUAGAUACCCCUGUAGUC